AACGUUGAGCAGUCUAGGGGUUGAUCAUCAUCAUGUGACAGCCAGCUUUGGGAGAGAGAACACCACUGACUGAACACAGAAACAUCUAAAGGAGUUUCCGUAGCGCGAGAGAUAGUGAACGUUGCUCCGUUAUUCAAGUGCUCCCAAUAGGCAUCGACGGCUCGGUGAUAAGUUCUGGAAAGACGCUGCUCUGAACAGCCCGGAUAAAAAACAUUCUCCGAGGACAGAAGAGAGAUUGAGAGAGAGAGAUUGAGAGAGACGCACUAAUCUCAGCGGGCAUGCGGGAGUUUUCUGAGUUAUUUGACGGCAAACAUUGUACAAACUAAUACGAACUCGCUCGCAGAUUCUUUUCCUUUAUUGCGUCAUCAGUUUGGUAUUUAUAAACUGUCAACCGACUGUUGUCGGUUAUAAAAAUUUUCAACAUUGCGUUUGAAAAAGUAACGAUUGCAGGGCAGGAGUUUGGAUACUGGAAUAAAACGGGCAACACAGAUUACACCCCUCUGUCGCCCUUUUUUCCUUGGGGGUCUGUUGUUUAUUUCCCUCAGCCCGACACAUUUCCGAGAUUUUUAGGCAACGGUUCAAACAUGGUUGGGGAAAUGGAAACGAAGGAGAAGCCCAAACCGACUCCUGACUAUCUGAUGCAGCUCAUGAACGACAAGAAGCUGAUGAGCAGCCUCCCAAACUUCUGCGGUAUCUUCAACCACCUCGAAAGACUGUUAGAUGAAGAGAUUGGACGGGUACGGAAGGACAUGUACAAUGACACAAUGAACGGCAGCACAGACAAAAGAACAUCGGAGCUCCCGGAUGCUGUGGGGCCCAUUGCACAACUCCAAGAGAAACUCUAUGUGCCUGUCAAAGAGUACCCAGACUUUAAUUUUGUGGGAAGAAUCCUGGGACCCCGUGGCCUGACAGCCAAACAACUGGAAGCAGAGACGGGCUGCAAGAUUAUGGUGCGAGGCAAAGGUUCAAUGAGAGACAAGAAGAAGGAAGAGCAGAACAGGGGGAAACCUAAUUGGGAACACCUGAAUGAAGAUCUGCACGUCCUCAUCACUGUGGAAGACUCUCAGAACCGAGCUGAGAUCAAACUCAAAAGAGCCGUCGAGGAGGUCAAGAAACUUCUAGUUCCUGCGGCGGAAGGUGAAGACAGCUUGAAGAAAAUGCAGCUGAUGGAGCUGGCCAUCCUCAAUGGCACAUACAGAGACGCCAAUGUCAAGUCACAAGCCUUGGCUUUCUCCUUGGCCGCCAGCGCACAAGCUCCCCGCAUCCUCACAGGCCCCUCCCCGGUGAUGCCCAAUGCGGCUCUGCGUAACCCUGCGCCUGCUACCCCAACCCUCAUGCCCCUCAUUCGACAGAUCCAGACCUCCGCCAUCAUGCCCACAGGCACGCCCCACCAUGCGACCCUCCUACCCCAGACCCCCGAGUCAGGCAUCAUCUAUGCACCCUACGACUACCCCUACACCCUUGGUCCUGCAACCUCCAUCCUCGAAUAUCCUAUUGACUCCAGUGGUGUUUUAGGUAUGGCUUUCCCAACAAAAGGCUAAUAAUGCUCAGAGGUUUAACAGUCUACAACCCAUACGAGUGUUAAAAAAAUGCUUUGCUUUACAGCUGCCUUGGAACAAAAAAAGAGCAAACGAAGAAACUGGUUUUAUUUUUCAGAAACGAAAGAAUAAAGUUUAUUACUACUCAUGUUUACACUGGUCUUAACUGUUUUUGACUUAUUAAAAAUUGAUAUUUUAAGAAAAAUACUGAUAAUUAAGCAUUCCUCUGUUUGAAAUGUAAUCUAUAUUUGUUUAGCUUGAAAUAAUUGUAUUUCUUAUUUUCCUGCAACUGUGUCUUAGAUAUUUAGAGAGUGAUCAGUAUUAUUGCUAAUAUAACUUGCUUGUGAAAAACCUUCUACAGAUGAUAUAGCUUGUAGUGAAUUCAAAUGACCUGAGGCAUAUAGUAUGUUAAGAACUAUUUGUUAGGUGGAAAACAAGGGCUCUAUGGUCAUGGUUUAAAUAAAUCAUUAAAAGUUGUGUUUUUAUGGAAAUACUUAGAAUUACAGUAAAGAUAAUUUGUCAACGGGCAACAGCAUAUGAUGAAAUUUUACUAUAAUGUGGCCCUUGGAAUUGUUAAAGAGAAAAUAUCACUUGUGCCUUGUAAUUUGGUGUUACAGGCCUUGUUAAAUAAUUUGUGUGAAGUGUGAUGUAGUUUUAAUGCAUUUUAAUGAAUAAUCUGAUGUUAAUUUUUGUUUGUUGGCAAUGUUGCGCUUUGAGCAGGUGCAGUGACUACUAAAGUACGAAGGCAGGAUAUGCGCGUCCAUCCUUACCAAAGGGUAGUGACCGCAGAACGAGCCGCCACCGGCAACUAACCAAUGACCCUCUGAGCUCUCAACUCUUCACCCAAUGAUGACCUGACCAUUGCCUGCCUGCUGACCAGUUCUCUGGCUCUCGUCCUUCGCUUCUAUGUUUUGGCGGCCUGCCAGUGAGCCCAGCAGCUUUAAAUGCUUAACACAGCCGAGAAGCCGUGAUGGCCCCACGCCACCACCCGCAGAACAGAAUUGCUCCCCUUCUCAAAACCCGAGGACCUCCUUGGUCAGGUGACCUGGGCUACUCAGCCUGCACUAAAGUGUCAAAGCAAUAACACUGUCUGGGUAUAACCCCACUGUUAGCCUUUCACACACUAAAUACAGACACAUUUGUAUUGAUUUCUACAAAUAAAUGAUUGAGCAUUAUGUUUAAAGGUAUAGUCCCAAAAAUGAAAAUGUCUGUCAUCAUUUACUCACUCUCAUGUUGUUCCAAACCUCUAUGACUUCAGUGGAUCAUGGUCAUAUGGGUUUGGAACAACAUGAGGUUGAGUAAAUGAUGUCUGAAGUUUUCAUUUUUGGGAGAACUGUCCCUUUAAAUCUCUUAGUUUGUGCACUCACAGUCUCUUAUGUUUCUCAUACCAUCCUGAAGAGUUGGAAACAAAAUAACACAUUUGAGUAAAUAAUUGGUGGAACCAGCUAUUUAAAACUGACCUCUAGGUCCAGAUGUCCAUAAGGGAUGUAAAAGCCAUGCUUGCCUACCAGCUUUUUAUUCGUAGAGCGGUUGAAAUGCAUCCAAACGCAUGAACAAGUGUGUACAAACACUGAAUAUCAAUUGAUAUCUUUUUGAUAUGAGGGUGCUGCACAUGAAAUUGCUAUAUAUUUUUCACAAUUGAUCGUUUUUGUAUUCAGAAACAGUAUUGUUUAAAUGUGAUGAACAAACAAUGUUUAUUUCUUUACAAUAACAGACAAAUUUUAGAGACCAAAACGGUGUCUUUUUUUAAAUCAAACAAACAAGUGCCUUAUUUUACACAUCAUCAUCAAUUACAAACAAGUAUGAAUGUCCAUCAAUGUGUUAAAUGCCAACAUAUCAGGUAUUUCUCUUCAAGUCCUCUUUAUGAUAAUGAAAACAAGGGUUGUACAGAACUGAGUUGCAGCCGUAACACUCACACUAGUUUUUUAACCCUCUUUUUAAAGUGUAUUUUAUUUUUCUUUACGAAUAGAAAUAGAGUUUUAGUCUGACUACAUUUUGAGACCUUUACGCUCACUAUCUGUUUGUGUUUAUAUUGUAGUGUACAAGCUCUCUAAUAUAUUAAUAGAUCCAUAACUACAUCUGUUACAAAAGCAAUUAAGCCUCCCAACAAUCUGGGCAUCAUUAGUGAAACUGUUACUAUUUGGGAGAAUCGCACGAACGUUGUCAGUUCAUAUUCUGGCCCUAUUUCACACCAAAAUCACAAGAAAGAAAGAAAAAAAAAAUGCUUGAAGAAAACUCAUAUUAUUUUAGGAUUUCUUGCGUUUGUUACAUCAUUUUCAUCACAAUUAAGAAAAUUUCCCACCAAAAUUUGUAUUACCAUAAUGCAGAAAAAUAUGUUAUUUAAACUGUAAAGUAUUUGAACAUCAUGGUAUUAUUUGUUGAACUGCCUUUUGUUCUGUUUUAAAUAAAAUUAUACUAUUUUUAUUACUAUAUUACAGAAUUGAGAACCUAUUGAGAAUAACUAUUGAGAAAAAUAGGAAUUGCCAAAAAAGUAAAAUGUUGGAACACACUACUGUAAAAUAAUCUUAAUUGUCCUAAAAAAAAAAACUAAAAAAAAACAUAUAAGCUUAAUUUUCUUUUUUCAGUAUAUACAGUGGCAAGAAAAAGUAUGUGAUCCCUUUGGAAUGAGCUGGUUUUCUGCAUUAAUUGGUCAUAAAAUGUGAUCUCAUCUUCAUCAAAGUCACAAGUAUAGACAAACACAAUGUGCUUAAGCUAACAACACACACACAAUUAUAUUCUUUGUUGUCUGUAUUGAAAACAUUCCAUUAUUGCUGUUGAAAAAGUAAGUGAACCCUUGGAUUUAAUAAAUGGUUGAUCCACUGUUGGCAGUAAUAACCUCAACCAAGCAUUUCCGGUAGCUGCGGAUUAGACCUGCACAACAUUCAGAAGGAAUUUUGGACCAUUCUUCCUCACAGAACUGCUUCUGUUCAGCCAUAUUCUUAGGAAGUCUGGUUUGAAUGUCUCUUGAGGUCAUUCCACAACAUCGUUAAUGGUUAAGGUCUGGACUCUGACCUCUUUUUUUUUUUUUAAGUCAUUCUGUAGUGGAUUUACUUAGAUGUUUAGGGUCAUUAUCCUGCUGCUUCACCCAGCCUCAGGUGGCACACAGCCACCCUGACAUUAUCCUGUAGGAUAUCUUGUGAAACUUGUGAUACAUGAUGCUUCCUCCACCAUUGAGAGGAUGUUUUCAUGUUGGUAUGUGGUGAUCCUCUUACACCAUACAUAGUUCUGAGUGUUCUUCCCAAACAAUUCAACCAUGGUUUCAUCAGUCCACAAAACAUUUUCCCAGUAGCGUCCUGGAGGGUCAAGGUGGUCUUUGGAAAACUUUAGGUACACAGCAGUGUUUAUUUUGGAAAGCAGAGGCUUCAUUCAUGGUGUCCUGCCACGGUCCACAUCAGCAGAUACUUCUUGUGAUUAGCAAACACAAAUGUUUGAGUGCUUUUUAUAAAACAAAGUAGAUCUAACCCACACCUCCAAUCUCAUUUCAUUAAUGGAAUGUCAGGUUUGUCAAGUCCUGACUAAUUGGCUUUUGUUGACGUCAUUAGCCUAGGGGUUCACAUACUUUUCCAACCUACACUGUGAAUGUUUGAAUGAUGUAUUCAAUAUGUACAACAACAAUAUAAUAAUUUGUGUGAUAUUAGUUGAAACUGAUUUUUCAUUUAUUGUAACUUAGAUGAUCAAACCAGAUUUUACGACAAAUGUAUAAAUGAAAGCAGGUAAUUCUAAAGGGUUCACGUACUUGCCACUUGUAUGAAUUACCAUUUUGAUUUAUUGGUAAAAUGUGAUUUCCAUAUAUUUCUAAAUGUUUCACUAUACAUUCAGUAUAUCUCAAGGAGCAUUUAUUCAAUUAUAAAGGUUUAGGGUUAAUUAGCACAAAAACUUUUACUCGUUAUAACAGGUUGGACCCCUUAUGAAGAAUUACGUUUUUACCAGAAGAGCAUAUUUGUGAUGGACAUCUCACAUUUCUUCAUACUUUCUAUGCAAAUGAUUUUCAUUUAAAAGUGACAACACAUUUCUGCAGUUGGUCUUCCAGUUAAACUUUCAAACCAUUUCAGAACAGAAGAACGAGGAGAAUAAAAGCCUAUUAACAAACUUUAGAAUUACACUUUGCUAUGUAGUUGUCAUUACUGGAUUUUGUGAAGAUACAUCUCCUUUUUUUAAUGAUAUUGGUUAUAUUUAUGCAGAGCAAAUGCAAGAUGUUUGAUGUUUUUGCAGUUGCAUGUAAUUGUUUAUUAACCUGGAUAUUGCUAAAGGAAAAAUCCUGCAAAGAUGGAAUUGUUUUACUAUAGAAUGUAUGUCAGUGUGUGCGAGUAUGUGUGUCAUUGUGUUUACGGUGAGUGUUUAGUGUAUUGUAAAUGCCAAUGAACUGCAACUCUCCAUUCAAGGUUUGAUUAUUAUUGUUUGUUUGUUUUUGCAAUCCCAAGCAGCUCCUUGCAUUGGAAAAUAUACAGUCCUUUUUAUAACCAUUGUAUACAUUAUAAUGUAUUUUUCUAUCAUAUUUUGUAUGUGAGAAAUAACAUUAAAUCACAUUUCCAGAUACGAAAGGAUGCCUUAUUAAAACAAUUGGUAUUUGAGAGAAAUACUUUCAAACACUCGAUAAUUGUAUUUUUUCCAUGAUGAUAUAAUUCUAUAGGAAAAUAUAAAAAAAAACACCAGUUUGAUUAUGAUAUGAUGAACAACAUUUGGUCCCAAGCUCACUCAAAGCAAGUGUUACAAAAGUUGUUAUUAUUUGCUGGGGUGUUCAGUUUGUCAUUUUUGCUUUGCCUCUGUGCCUUAUGUAAAUUGUAAGCUAUUAACCAUUUUAGUUAAUUUGAUUAAUUUUUUCUUGACGAUUGUACUAACAUUUGAUGGUUUCUAUACAUUAACCCCAUCAAUAAUUUAUUUUGUCUGCUUUGAAUCUUUAGAACAGGAGAUGUGUGAAACUAAGCAAGAGUGUUUUACUGACUUUGAAAUAUGCUGGACUAAACUCUGUACUGCGAAGCAAUAGCCGAAUAUUAAAAUCAUAGUUUUAAAAAGGAA